CUCUCCUCCCCAGGCAAAGACCAUUCUUACCCUCUUUACAUGUCUUCUUUAAUUCUUUUUUCUUUCUUUCUUUCUUUCUUUCUUUCUUUCUUUCUUUCUUUCUUUCUUUCUUUCUUUCUUUCUUUCUUUCUCUCUCUCUCUCUCUCUUCUUUCCUUCCUUCUUUCCUUCCUUCCUUCCUUCCUUCCUCCCUCCCUCCCUCCCUUCCUUCCUUCCUUCCUUCCUUCCUUCCUUCAUUCCUUUCUUCCUUCCUUCCUUCCUUCUUUCCUUCCUUCCUUCCUUUUUCUUUCUUUCUUUUCUUUUCUUUUCUUUUCUUUUCUUUUCUUUUCUUUU
rnacentral:lncRNA from 1 species